rnacentral:lncRNA from 10 species
CUACAUGUUGAAGUCCUAACUCUCAUGUCAGAAGGUGGUCUUAUUUGGAAAUAUGGCUUGUUGCAGAUAUAGUAUUAAGAUGAGGUCAUUGUGGAGUAGCAUGGAUCCCUGAUUCACUAUGACUGAUGUCCUUAUAAGGAGGGAAUUUGUAGAUAGACACGCACAUGGGGAAAAUGCCAGGCGAAGAUGAAGGCAGAGAUGAGGGUAAGCUUCU